rnacentral:rRNA from 1 species
UGACCCGUCCUGAAGCACGGACCAAGGAGUCUAACAUGUGCGCGAGUCAUUGGGAAUGUAAACCCAAAGGCGUAAUGAAAGUAAAGAUUUGAUUGCAAAUUUGAGGAGAGAUCCUGGCUCUGUGUGGCAUCUCGAAAGAGUUGCUGUGCAGGGUGGGCGCAUCUCCGGGACGUCUAUACCUCUGAAGGUGGGGCGUACCUAGAGCGUACACGUUGGGACCCGAAAGAUGGUGAACUAUGCCUGGUCAGAACGAAGUCAGGGGAAACCCUGAUGGAGGUUCGUAGCGAUUCUGACGUGCAAAUCGAUCGUCGGAACUGGGUAUAGGGGCGAAAGACUAAUCGAACCAUCUAGUAGCUGGUUCCCUCCGAAGUUUCCCUCAGGAUAGCUGGCGCUUUUUUAACCAGUCUCAUCCGGUAAAGCGAAUGAUUAGAGGCCUUGGGGCCGAAACGACCUCAACCUAUUCUCAAACUUUAAAUGGGUGAGAAGUCAGGCUUGCUUGAUCGAAGCUCUGACAAUGGAUGGUGAGUGCCAAGUGGGCCACUCUUGGUAAGCAGAACUGGCGCCUGUGGGAG